AUACUUACCUGGCAGGGGAGUUACCAUGAUCAUGAAAGUGGUUUUCUCAGGUUGAGGCUCACCCAUUGCACUUUGGGUAUGCUGAUCCCUAUGAUUUCCCCAAAUGUGGGAAACUUGACUGCAUAAUUUGUGAUAGUGGGGGACUGUGUUUGUGCUUUCCCAUG
rnacentral:snRNA from 1 species